rnacentral:rRNA from 1 species
AUUGAACGCUGGCGGCAUGCCUUACACAUGCAAGUCGAACGGCAGCGGGGGAGAAGCUUGCUUUUCCUGCCGGCGAGUGGCGAACGGGUGAGUAAUACAUCGGAACGUGCCCUGUAGUGGGGGAUAACUAGUCGAAAGAUUAGCUAAUACCGCAUACGACCUGAGGGUGAAAGUGGGGGACCGCAAGGCCUCAUGCUAUAGGAGCGGCCGAUGUCUGAUAGCUAGUUGGUGGGGUAAAGGCCUACCAAGGCGACGAUCAGUAGCUGGUCUGGAAGGACGAUCAGCCCCACUGGGAAUGAGACACGGCCCAGACUCAUACGGGAGGCAGCAGUGGGGAAUUUUGGACAAUGGGCGAAAGCCUGAUCCAGCAAUGCCGCGUGUGUGAAGAAGGCCUUCGGGUUGUAAAGCACUUUUGUCCGGAAAGAAAUGGCUCUGGUUAAUACCUGGGGUCGAUGACGGUACCGGAAGAAUAAGGACCGGCUAACUACGUGCCAGCCGCCGCGGUAA